rnacentral:misc_RNA from 1 species
AAAAAAAAAGGGUACAUAAUAUAUCAUACACGUACAUAAAUCAGUUCCUGCAUAUUCUCUCUAAUAAUGUUAUUAAGGGCUAAGGGAGGUAUCUUGGAAACAUUAAAGAAAUAACUCGACAUCCCGCAAUAAAGUAAUAAAGUCGGCGGCUCUAUUUCUAUCCCUCCAACAAUGGGUGACUCUAAAAGACUGUAAGGCUCUUGCAUUUUCAGUGAAGCUCAGCAGCAUAUUUCGCGCUUAUGGGGCUUGCAUUGGGAGUUAAUCAUCUUAACUGCAUAUAAUGAGUCAGACUCUACCCAAAGGUUCCGAGUGCCCAUUCGCGAAGCCAUCUCCACCGUAUGGCAGAUUGCAUAAAGUUCCACCUUCCAAAUCUCUCUCCCCAACCCUCUCUCAAAAACUUUGAAAGGUCCGAAGGACUAAAUAUGCAAGCGGUAGUUCGGUAUCAGCUGUCUCAUCUGGUCAAUCUCAUCCCACACAAGAAGGAUUUUUAUCUAAG